rnacentral:rRNA from 1 species
UACAGAGGUCUCAAGCGUUGUUCGGAUUCAUUGGGCGUAAAGGGUACGUAGGCGGCGCGGUAAGUCGGGUGUGAAAUCUCGGAGCUUAACUCCGAAACUGCAUUCGAUACUGCCGUGCUUGAGGACUGGAGAGGAGACUGGGAUUUACGGUGUAGCGGUGAAAUGCGUAGAUAUCAGGAAGAACACCCGUGGCGAAGGCGGUUCUCUGGGACGGUACUGACGCUGGAGACGCGAAAGCGUGGGGAGCGAACAGG